rnacentral:rRNA from 1 species
UAACGCGUAUGCAACCUACCUCUUACAGGUGAAUAGCCCAGAGAAAUUUGGAUUAAUACACCAUGGUAUCUUAGAAUCGCAUGAUUUUAGGAUUAAAGUUUCGGCGGUAAGAGAUGGGCAUGCGUGACAUUAGUUUGUUGGUGAGGUAACGGCUCACCAAGACUACGAUGUCUAGGGGUUCUGAGAGGAUGAUCCCCCACACUGGCACUGAGAUACGGGCCAGACUCC